AUACUUACCUGGCAAGGGACACACCGUGAUCACGAAGGCGGUUCACCCAGGGCGAGGCUCAGCCAUUGCACUCCGGCUGUGCUGACCCCUGCGAAUCUCGAUUGCAUAAUUUCUGGUAGUGGGGGACUGCGUUCGCGCUCUCCCCUG
rnacentral:snRNA from 1 species